rnacentral:rRNA from 1 species
UACGGAGGGUGCGAGCGUUGUCCGGAAUCACUGGGCGUAAAGGCUGCGUAGGCGGCCUGAUAAGUAGGGGGUGAAAUCCUGCGGCUUAACCGCAGGGCUGCCUUCUAAACUGUCGGGCUAGAGCACGGUAGAGGCAGAUGGAAUUCCCGGUGUAGCGGUGGAAUGCGUAGAGAUCGGGAAGAACAUCAGUGGCGAAGGCGGUCGUGC